CUUAAAAUAUUUACUCUUGACCUUUUACAGUGAGAGUUUGCUGAUCUCUCAGGCUAUCUCUGCCAUUAGUUCAUCCAAAUGAGCAUCAGGAUAUUAAAAUAUUUAAAAACAAACACUAGUUUAUUUCAUCCAUUCUAACCCACUGCUGGCUCUCUAAAGCUGUUAAAACCCCUUUUGUGGCAGCAGCAGUUUUUUUUAAUUUACCAUUUCUGCGAAGGAAAGAACUAAGGAAAUCAUUGUUAUUUAAUUUUGCUAUUUAUAGAGUUGAUUUUCAAGAAGCCUCUUUCAAAUGAUCAAAUUUCAAAAGUUGGAAACAUGUUUCUGCAAGAAAAUGUUUUUCAGCCUCUUUUUUCUUAUUGAUUCUUCUGAGUCAAUAAAAACUUCCAAGAGUAAUGGUAGAGCUUUUUUUCUUAGUGUUAAAUAUUGCUUCUUUUGCAACUAAUGCAUUGCAUGUGGUGGUUUGCAGUGGUAUCAUUGGUCGUAGCAGGAAAGAUUUCAGGAGAUACUUAUUCAACUUCAUCGCUGCCAUGCCUCUCAUCUCUGUAAUUAAUAACUUCUUGAAGUUUGGGUUAAAUGAGCUCAAACUGUGCUUCUGAGUAAGACUAACUAAAUACCUCAAUGAGGAGUAUCUCCAGUCAAGGGCCAGGAGAAGUAACGAAGUAUAAUUUGGCCCGCUGGAGGGCAGCAGCUUCCGGAUACCAGCCAACAAUUAGUAGGAGGCUUUCUGCUCCCAGUGCUACGGCCAGUGUUGAUUCUAGCAGCAGCUGGUCGGUCUCAGCGAUAAGGACAGGAGGAGAAACCCGAGGGCUGGUUAAAGUGCAGUCGUGAAGUCUCCCGAUCGUGGCAGUGUGGCCUCCUUCGGAGCUGGAAUGAAUUCCUUCCCCGUGAACAGCCAGACGCCUCGUGACUACCCAGACCGGCUGUCGCUCGGCCAGCGCUUUCUUCGGUGCGUGCAUUCAAAUUCCUUUAGAUAUGAGGCCCCGGAAUCACAUAAUGCCGUAAUUAGGGCUGGCAGGGAACGAACAGCCUGGUAGAAACACGCACUCAGAUGCCCUCUCUGGGACUUGUUCUCCACCCCCCGCCCCCCCGCCCCCCCGCCGCCGUUCCCCCACGUCGUGCACCAAGCCCUUUGUCCCGGGAGCCCCGCCGGCGCAGGAAUUCGAGGUAACGGCCGCAGCACACUCAGGGCAGGGCACGCCCCCACGCCACGCGGUCUCGGCGCCCCGGCGCUACAGGCACGCCCCCGU